rnacentral:rRNA from 1 species
ACAGCAGCAGCCGCGGUAAUACGAAGGGGGCUAGCGUUGUUCGGAAUUACUGGGCGUAAAGCGCACGUAGGCGGACAUUUAAGUCAGGGGUGAAAUCCCGGGGCUCAACCCCGGAACUGCCUUUGAUACUGGGUGUCUAGAGUAUGGAAGAGGUGAGUGGAAUUCCGAGUGUAGAGGUGAAAUUCGUAGAUAUUCGGAGGAACACCAGUGGCGAAGGCGGCUCACUGGUCCAUUACUGACGCUGAGGUGCGAAAGCGUGGGGAGCACAGGAUUAGAUACCCCCGUAGUCCCUGUCUCUUAUACAC